rnacentral:misc_RNA from 1 species
UCCUACUUAUCAUAGGCAGUUUCCUUAGAGUUCUCAACUUAAUGUUAGCAACUAAGGACGAGGGUUGCGCUCGUUGCGGGACUUAACCCAACAUCUCACGACACGAGCUGACGACAGCCAUGCAGCACCUGUGAAUCGGCCCUUGCGGGCGAGGACAUCUCUGCCACUCUUCCAAUUCAUGUCAAACCCAGGUAAGGUUCUUCGCGUUGCAUCGAAUUAAACCACAUGCUCCACCGCUUGUGCGGGCCCCCGUCAAUUUCUUUGAGUUUUAACCUUGCGGCCGUACUCCCCAGGCGGGAUACUUAACGCGUUAGCUUCGGCACUGAAGGGGUCAAUACCUCCAACACCAAGUAUCCAUCGUUUAUGGCAUGGACUAC